GGGAGGAAUGUGGCGGCGGCAGCAGCCCGGCGGGCAUCUCCCUGUCGCCGGCUCCCCAAGACGGUCACGGGGCACCGCUGGGGCGGGAGCCCUUACCUGCUUCUCUGCAGACCGGCUGCUGGCGGAAAGCCCUCCUAUGGCGAAUCCUUCCCCCGGCAAGUCCUCUUUCUCUAGCUCGCCGAGAUUAUCCGCCCAGACUGACUAGGAGGAGGCCAGGAUACCGCCUUUCCGCGCGCCCCCAAACCCUCCGCUGCAGCAAUUCCCUCCUCCGCUGUGGGCUGGGGGCUUAUCCCCCUCCCUCUCGUGGUGGCUUCUACUUCUCCACGCAUCUGUUUGAGGGAUUGGCGCCGCGCGCGUUGGUGCAAAUCUACACCAUUUGCACGGCUUGCCCCGGGGAAAGCAGCGACUGGUAAGCAGAAAUGCAGAGAUCAAGGUGGAGAGUGGGAGGGAGCGUGAAAAUCGAAAACACAGCUUAUGUCAGCGGCGGCGGACCCCUCGUUAAUGGAUCCCGAGAAAAAGGAGCCCCCCUGCGCCACGAGCACUUGCUGCAUGUGUUGUAGACAAGGAAGAAGAGAAAAGAGAAAACCCCGAGAGUUAUCGCACUGCAAGCACCCAAGCCAAGAGAAGUGAAGGAUUUCUGCAGGGACAGGUGGAAAUCCCGGACUGGACUCUACAGAAUCACCGCCCGCACACAAGACCUUAGAGGCGCAGCUAGCCUUUUCUCAGCGAUUCAUCAGGCGCAACACUGGGCGGGCCCUUCUCAAGACAGGGCAUGCCGAACUUCACACGCCCUUCCGGUGCCGGCAAAAAAAGAAGAAGAAGAAGCAGAAGCGCAGAUGUUACAUAUCAUGGGGCUAAAUUAGCCAGAGCGGAUUGGCUUCCUUAGGUCGCCCCAUGGACAAGGUCGUCUGGGGAAUCCGCGGCUAACAGCUGGGAAGGCCCAACAUCUGGAGGCUUAGCUGGUGAUGCAGCUAAUGUGCUCAAAUCCCCACCUGCUAUGGGAUCAUCAGGGUAAUUAGAGAAGGAAAGCCUGUUAGGCGAGGCUGCGUGUGGAGUUACAGGUGGCUGCAGUUAUCUUAACAAGCCUGCCUAUCUGGCCCCACCACCACCCACACCUCUAUCAACUGCUCCUCCCAUCUACUUCCACACAGGACAUGCCUAUGCCUCAAUCAAGCAGGAGUGUUUAUGUGGCAUGGUUUCGGUUGCAUAUUAUGUUAUUUCACAUCUAUUUAACCGCAAUGUUAGGGAUUGCACAGAGUACUAAAGGCCUCCGAGAGGAGAGCUGGUCUUGUGGUAGCAAGCAUGACUUGUCCCAUUAGCUAAGCAGGGUCUGCCCUGGUUGCAUCUGAAUGGGAGACUUGAUGUGUGAGCACUGCAAGAUAUUCCCCUCAGGGGAUGGAGCCGCUCUGGGAAGAGCAGAAAGUUCCAAGUUCCCUCCCUGGCAGCAUCACCAAGAUAGGGCUGAGAGAGACUCCUGCCUGCAACCUUGGAGAAGCCGCUGCCAGUCUGUGAAGACAAUACUGAACUAGAUGGACCAAGGGUCUGACUCAGUGUAUGGCAGCUUCCUAUGUUCCAAGGGCUGGUAUUCAUGUCUAUUGGGACAGCACAGCAAAGGUACCAGAAUUGGUUGUUUUUGGCACAGGGUACCCGGAUUUGUGAAUGCUUCAGCAAAUCUAUAGCAUGCAUCAAGACUAUAACUACUACAAAUAUUUAUACACACAGAAAAUGAAUAUCUAAAUAAUGACGGCUCCCUGUCCUUGAAGGGCUCACAAUCGAAAAUGAAACAUAAGGCGGAAAGGUGCUAUGUUGGGACUGGAUAAGAACAGUUGCUCUCCCCCUGCUAAAUAUAAGCGAAUUGCAGCACACAGUGAGAUUAUAGCUCACCAUGUCCAGGGAGGGUUUUGAAAUGCUACUUGAGCCAGGGCCUAUAUGAAAGAUCAUCUCAACUCACAUCAAUCACUAUGCAAAUAAAAAAUAAAAAAAGUAAAAAGUUGUGGGCUGAGCCAGUCCUCAGAGCAACAUGGUCAAGGGCAUUAUAUGUACAACAGUAUAAGAAUGAUAGUGAAGAGAGAAUCAAACAACAAAUUACAAUUGAUAUCAAAGAUGCAAGAGAUGAGGUUACGUGACAACAGGUAAUGCAGAAUAGGCAAUACUACUACUUUCCAAGAAAGGCUGCUGAAAAAAAACUAGUUUCAAGGGGAGCAGGGUGUCUACACUCACACAGUCACAAGGAUCCUGGUUAAAAGUCAAUAAAGAUUAGUGAGCCCAGUGGAGCCGAUUGUGUGAAUGCAGAAUUUCAAAGCAAUCCUGAUCAAACUGCUCCAGUUAACCCACCAGUAUAGAUAACCAAGAUUGAAUUCUGGUUAAAUACUGGAAUCAGGAUUGCCCUGAAAUUCUCCACUCACACAGUCAGCUCUCCUGGGCUCACUAAUCUGAUCAACUUUAACCAGGAUCCUUGUGAUUGCCACCUUGAGAUUGUUUUAACUGCCUUGAGAUUGUUUUAAUGAAAGGUGGUAUACAAAUUUAACUUAAUAAAUAAAUAAAAAUUGUGUGAACACAGCCAUAAACAUUCAUUGAAAAGACGGGGGGGGGGAGAGAGAGACUUUUCCCACUCUUUAACCACCCUGGUUGUGAUUAGAAAUGUUAUGGAGUAACUUAUCUGUGUUGCAUAUUUAUAGUUAGAUUGCACAGUCCCUCUAAGGAGCACAGGAUGGUUGCCCCUCUGAAGCAGAUCAGUCACAAAAAGAAUGACUGUGAAUAGCUGAAUGAGGAUUUGAACUCAGGUUUUCCCAAUCCCAGCCCAGUCAUUCUAGCACACCAGCUCACAUAUCUCCCUCUGAUGCAGAUGGAGCAGAAAGGUGACUGUUAGCUUUAUAGUGGAUUUUGAACUCAAUCCGAGUCUCAGUCUCACCACUACAUACACUAGCUCCGAUAUCUUGUAAUGCUUAAUAGGCUUAAUAGGCAUAGGAAAGGGAGCAAGGGGGGGAACAAUGUUCCAUGGGGUGUAUAGAAACAAGAGCAGAUGAGAAAUAAAAGCACCUUGUGUCAUUUCUGCAGAUGUAAAACAGUAGUACAGUCAAUGUAAAGGUAGCCACAAUUAAUAUGGUAGUUUUAGCACCAACAUGUUCUGGGUCCAAAAGGGAAAACACCUGCUUAUGAAGCAAAGCUUGUAGAUGAGUUUAAAUGCUCCUUAUUCCCCAGCCAAAGUUUAUGUUUCCUAUUUCCCUGUGUCCCAGCCAUACUUGCCUGCAGCCCUCCCUGGUGCCUGCGAAUGGUGCAGCAGGGAAAUGUUUGACUACCAAGCAGAAGCUGGCCAGUUCAAAUCCCCGCUGGUACUAUAUCGGGCAGCAGCAAUAUAGGAAGAUGCUGAAAGGCAUCAUCUCAUACUGCACAAGAGGAGGCAAUGUUAAAUCCCUCCUGUAUUCUACCAAAACAAAACCACAGGACUCUGUGGGCUCCAGGAGUCGAAAUUGACUGGUCGACACACUUUACUUCUACCAAAUAGGCACCCAUGCACACCCUAAUCUCCUGAAGCAUCCACCCAUGCACCUCCAUCAAGUGCAUCUGAAUAUGUUGGUCCAGCCCGUUUUCCGAUGCUGCCAGCCAGCAAAAGAACCAAUUAAUGCUAAUUGCCACUAAAUAUCCCAAGUGACGGCACCAUUGCAAAUGAUUCAUAUUCCAAAAGCAGCACACACAGUGCACUGGCUGCUUCCUUUCCAAAGUGCUGAGGGAGCAAUUCUAGCCAACUGUACUUACAUCACAGACAUCAUUCUCUACCUAGAUAGCAAGCUGUUGCCAUACACUGCUGGAAAGGAAGGCUUUACAUGCAUGCACCCACAUGCAUCUCGUUGCUACCACUACAGGAGUCAUGUUAUUCUUAGGAGCAGCCUUGCACAAUCAGCUGGCUAGACGCAGUCACUCUGGGUUGAACCAGCUUGACUCCCUCCCCACCUGAGAAAUUACCCACACUCACAACUGGGCUAAGAUCUCUUGGGAUGCAUUUCUGCAUUGAGAAAGAGCCGCAGGUCAGUUUAAGAACAGCUAUGCCCAGAGACGCACUUAUCCCUGAACUUUGGAGCUGAAGUCCAGGGCCUCCCAGGUGGUGUGGCUGCUGUACUGCACUGGGCAGAGCCGAGUGCAAUUGUGACUGGGUGCUUUAGAGACAGAGCAGGGAAUGGGAAAGAAAUAUGUGUGAUGGAAAUAUGUUAGGUUGUGUGUUGAAAUAUUUCUGCAAAUGCAUAUGUGGAUAAAUCUAGCUGUUUUGUAGUCUUACAUUCUUGUGACUUCAGUUGCCGUUUGUGCCCUCAAGAACCUAGGUGUUAAAAAUACUGUGUGUGUCAAGGUGUGUGUGUGUGUGUUUGUAGGGGGUGAUGCUUAUCUUGCAGUGGGGGGAGACUCCAAAGGGCUAUAGGUCCAGGCUCUAAAAUUACCUAGGUGCACCUCUGCCUGUGCCCUAAACUACAAUGGUUUGUAGUUUAGGGCACAGGCAGGUUAGUCAGUGAAGAACUGAGCAGCAAUCUGCACCACAGACUUGUGCAAUAGCAGGUGAGGAGACUGGGACCAUAUUUUAUUCCAUGUAUCUUAUUUAUACCCCAUCUUAUAAUUUUGCUUCAGUGCAGCAUACAAAAAUAACGUUUAACACAUACUCAGAUAACAAUGAAAGAAAUCAUAAAGCAGCAGUUUAAACAACAACAACAUCAACAAAAAGCCAGCUGGUAGAACCAACUGACACAUCAGCAAACCGAAGGCAACUAAAAGACUCAAAACAUAUUAAAAGCCAGCACUUGGACAGGGUCAGGCUGUCUCUUUCACAUCCUUGAGGAUGUAAAUGGGUUAAUCUUUGGAAACAUCUUCAUUCCAAAAUCUAUACAGGGGCCUGCUUCACACAAUUGUUUGGACCCAGGUUUAAAGUCAGUAAUCAACAUUAACAUGAUUGUGUGAACCUGCAACAAGAUUACCAAUGUUGGUUUGUGUAACAAAAUGAAUCUGAGAUUCCCACCUUGGCAUGGGUUCACACAAUCACGCUAAUGUUGCUUACCAACUCUGUACCUAGAUUCAAACAAUUGUGUGAAGCAGGCCAGAGUGGAAAAGUUGGGUUUUCUAGACAGUAUGCUUGGGGGUGGGGGGAGUGCCCACCUAUUCUGUGCCUUCUUUUUGAGCUCAGUCUGAGUAUUUCUUUAUUAUCAUGGUGAUGCCAUUUAACUAUGUAAACAAGAUUCUUUGGGGGGACAACCACAGGAUUCAAACCUUAUAUAAAUAUCCAUUGUUACUGAGGACAUCGAGAGCCACAUAAUGGUACAGCAGGGAAAUGACUUGACUAGCAAGCCAGAGGUUGCCGGUUCAAAUCCCCACUGGUAUGUUUCCCAGACUAUGGGAAACAGCUAUAUCGGGCAGCAGUGAUAUAGGAAGAUGCUGAAAGGCAUCAUCUCAUACUGUGUGGGAAAUGGCAAUGGUAAACCCCUCCUGUAUUCCACCAAAGACAAUCACAGGGCUCUGUGGUUGCCAGGAGUUGACACUGGCUCGAUGGCACACUUUACCUUACUGAGGACAUCAAAAGAGUCUUAAGAUAGCUUCACUAUUAGAAGAAUUCUUUCCUUGAUAAGGAAGAAAUCUUUAGUGACUCAGGGUCAUCAUUUUGUCUGACUUCUUUUAUUGAAUGGAUCCUACGCAGCAGUGAUGUGGUUGCCAAUUCAGAAGUGCAGAAGGCACUCUCCAUGACAGCCCCACUAGCCAUGCCUACCCUAACAGCCAAGGAAGCCGAAAAGUACUGGUGCUCUGUCCCUGUACAUCCCCCUCGGCCCCUCCACUACACCCUUGCUACCCAGUCCCUAAAAGGCUGGUGUACUGGCCUGCUUUUGCGCUGCACAAUGUGUAUGGUGUCAGGAGGACCCGCUAGCUCCCACAGCUGGAAUCAGAUGAGAUUUAAUCAUCAGAGGAGGACACCUCCAAUGGCCUCAGUAUGAACCCAGGAGGACGUAGGGAAGACCAGGCACCCUGAGGCAGUCCCCUCAUACUUUAGGACAAACCUCAGAACUGAUAGACCCUACCAUGAUCUGACGAGAAUCCCCCUUGUCUCUGGACCCCCACAUUCACCACUGGAACCUCAAUAAGAGAAAUGGCAGCAAGCCCCCAAACUGAAUGAUCAUGGACCUUUCCAGAGUACUAUUCAGGAGGAGGAAUCAGUGCAGUCAGGAUCAAUCUCUUUCUACUACACCAAGCAGAGUGGGGCGGCCAGGAGCUCUAUAUAACACCUCAGUUGCUACCUGGAAGUUGCUGGUGCAACAACUUCAUGGACCAGCUUCUAGUUCUAGCUGACUCCCAGGCAAAUCCCCUGCUGCUCAGCCCCUGGCCCUCUAACUUUGGAUUAACCUUCUCACCUUCUUAAGGAUGCUGGCCAACUCCUCUGCCUUGCCUGGAAGACUGGGAACAGGACAAAUUGAGGAGACACAAAUUCUAGCCUUAAGGAAUCCUAAUCCCCGCCCCCUUUUCUCUCUUUUUAAUCUAGAGGAAAUUAGAGUCAAAGCAGGCUUCUUUAAGUUCCUUUUGAUAUGUCUGAAAUGGUUAUACUUUAUUGAAUAAAUAUUUCAUAUGCUUAA